AAAACACCAUUAUUUUAACAAAAAAAAGGGAAAAGGGAAAUCAAAAUCCCGCUCACUCCCAAAAAAAUAACUUUUGGUUACCCGCUCUUACUCCCUCUUUUUCUCCCAAAUCCCUCAAAUAAAAUUUAGCUACUCUUUUUCUCUCGAUCUGAAAAAAAAAAAAAAGAAACUGAGAAAGGCACAAAGGGUUUUUGGAAGCAAAGCAGAGCGAAGAAAACCCUUCACUGUUAUUCACUCUGUUUUCUCCAAUGAAGUUCCGAUUCAUUUCCGGUAUAAAUAUCAGGUCGUCAUGGGGGGACACCCUUGCACCAUGCAGCAAAAAGAGGCAUUCUAAAUACAGUUAAAUUACUUCUUUUUCAUGGAGGUUCAUGUUUUAUCGAUUUCUGUUAUAUAUUACGGGAAAACUAAGUUAUUAAUCGUUGCAUGAUGAAUAUGUUUGAUUUGAAAUUUAGAGUAGUCUAAUAGGCAACUUGUUCGAACUUUCAACUAAUCCGUUGGUGAUGAAUGAUGAUUGUCAAACACCUCUAGAUGUUGCUAGGGUGAAAGGAAAUGUCAAUGUUGUAAAGGCAAUUGAGGAUUAUAUUGUUUAUUCUCUGGUUGGAUGCAGGAGUUUUACGGGCCAAGAUUUAUUGAAAUGUUUGUUCCUCAGUUGCUUUCAAGAAAAGUUUGGGUGGUUGUUCUACCAACUGGUUCCUGAAAUAAUUCAAAACCUUUCAAGUUGGAGCUGGCCAUAUAUUCUACUUUGCAGAAUGUUAAAACAUUUAAAAAUGUCAAAGGCUGUGAUGAUGGAAAACAAGAUCUUGAAGAAGUAGUGGAGUAUCUCAAAAACCCAUCAAAGUUCACCAGUCUAGGGGGAAAUUGCCAAAGGGGAUCCUUUUGACUGGAACUGGAAAAACCUUGCUAGCCAAGGCUAUUGCGGGGGAAGCUGGGGUACCUUUCUUCUAUAGAGCAGGAUGAAAAACCACAAAAAAUAAAUUCAUUGAUUAUAUACAUAAAUUCCUUGAUCACCAUGUUUGCCAAAGACAAAAAAUAUGAUGAAGAUGAUUAUAUUCUCACUUACCAGGACAAAGAAUGAGAUUGGCUGAUUGCAGGCGAUAUUCCAUGGCACAAUUCAGACAAGGUUACAAAUGGCAAUGGAGGUUAGAGACAGUCUCGAGAUAGCUCACACUGCGGAGGACUUCUCUAAGUUAUAUGCAGGCAUUGCAAUACUUUGGAUUCAUCUAAGCUUGAACCAUCCCUCUGUUGUAUAUUGUUUCUUCUUCUUUUCUGAUAUUUUUCCUUUGAUUAAUGAGAGGUGAUGAUGAUUUGGCAUUCUUUUCUCACCAGGAUGAAUUUUGUUUUAGAAAUAGUAAUACUUUGUGAGUGUCUGUGUGUUUUUUUAUGUAUUAAAUUACAUAUUGAAUCAAUGUUUAUGUAUUAAAUUUAAAUUUAUUAAUUUUUAUAUUUAGUUUUAAAGUUAAAAUUUUAAUAGAAAA